AAUGGAUUGUUACAUGUAACAACAUGGAUACAUCUCAAAGUAACUAUGCUGAGUAAAAGAAGAUAGACUAAAACAGAACAUACUGUAUAAUUUCUAUAAAACUAGAAAAGGCAAACAUCUUCAGACAAAUAAUGCAUCCCUGAUUGCCAGGGACAGGAGAGAUGGGAGGAAAGAACUAUAAAAGGACCAAGGAAACUUUUGAGGAUAAGAAAACUGAGACACAGAGAGACUUAGUAAAUUUCCUUAAUUCAUUCAGAUGGUGAGGACACAAUGAGAUGUCCUUCUGCAAACCAGAAAAGGGCCCUCACUAGACACUGGAUCUACCAGCACCUUGAUCCUGGACGUCCCAGAUUUUAGAAUUGCCACUCAGACCUUGUCUCCCAGGAAUUUGAAUCCCAGCCACUGACACAGGAGGGAAAAUGGGAGGAGAUGAAGCACACCAAUUGCAGGGUCACGGACAGAUUUCCCUCCUUUUCCUGCCAACUUUCCUGGGUCCUGUCCUUUGCAAAAGCUGGUCGUUUUGUUCUCUUUUUGGUUUAUGAAUUGCCAUGAAUCCUUUCAAUAAAAUCCUUUUGUUUC